rnacentral:rRNA from 1 species
AUUGAACGCUGGCGGCAUGCCUUACACAUGCAAGUCGAACGGUAACAGGUCUUCGGAUGCUGACGAGUGGCGAACGGGUGAGUAAUACAUCGGAACGUGCCCGAUCGUGGGGGAUAACGGAGCGAAAGCUUUGCUAAUACCGCAUACGAUCUACGGAUAAAAGCAGGGGACCGCAAGGCCUUGCGCGGACGGAGCGGCCGAUGGCAGAUUAGGUAGUUGGUGGGAUAAAAGCUUACCAAGCCGACGAUCUGUAGCUGGUCUGAGAGGACGACCAGCCACACUGGGACUGAGACACGGCCCAGACUCCUACGGGAGGCAGCAGUGGGGAAUUUUGGACAAUGGGCGAAAGCCUGAUCCAGCCAUGCCGCGUGCAGGAUGAAGGCCUUCGGGUUGUAAACUGCUUUUGUACGGAACGAAAAGACUCUUUCUAAUAAAGAGGGUCCAUGACGGUACCGUAAGAAUAAGCACCGGCUAACUACGUG